GCAAAAUAUUUCAAUCGUCAAUUGUUUUUACUCGAAGGAAUAUCGCUUCGCAGAAAUUUAGUGUUUUCUGACUAUAAGUAUAAAACCUUUGCGCUUGCUACAGUAACCAUGAAGGCAUUCUAUGUAUUUCUAUUCUUGACCCUCAUCGGACUGGUUUUCGCAACAGAUAUACUUGAUCGAGGACAAUGUUCUUCUGAAAACUGUAAUCUUAUAGGAAAUAUUGUGAGAAUAGUACUUGAAUUGUUAGGUUGCGUUAUUGGUGAUUUAUGCAAGAUACCUUUAUUAGGAAGUUUACUAAGUUCGAUAUGUAUUAUUUGUCCCUCAUAAGUUAAAAAAAAAUCACGGAAUGUGCAUCAAUGAAGGUUUUAAAGGAUAACUAUUAUGAUAGAAUUAUUGACAUCGUAAAGGAACUGUUAUGAAUCAUUUUAUCUAUAAAAUUAUGUACUUACUAUGAUCUUUAUUAUUGAUAUACUUAUAACACGAAUGCACUCUUUUUAAACACUUUAAAUUUUGAGAUCAGUUACAAAUAUUGCACGUAUUUUGCACUUAUAAUAAAUAAAUAAUACAUUGAGCAACUAGA